rnacentral:lncRNA from 1 species
CCCGUGUGUGCCCGGGAGGUGACGCUGCCGCUCAGCGCUGUCCCCGCAGCGCUCGGCCCGCUGGCGGCAGCUCCGCUGUGCCCGGAGGCGGAACUCGAGCCCCGACCGCCCGCUCCCACCGCCUCCGGCAGGCGGCGCUCUCGCCCAGGCCGUGAGGGGAGCGCUCCGGUGAGCCCGACACCGGCUGAGCCCCGGCCGUGAGGGGAGCGCUCGGGUGAGCCCGGCACCGGCUGAGCCCCGGCCGUGAGGGGAGCGCUCCCGUGCGUUCUGCUGCCAGCUGAACCCCGUGGCUGCGGCUGUUUGCCGUAUCUCUGUCACAGCACUCUGCCCGGCUCUUCAAACCCAAUCUUAGUGGGGCAGAAGUGUCAUAUGACACAGGGGUGACUGCCAAAUGUCAUCCAGUUUUGACAUAAUGCCUUGGCAGAAAACAGCGAUGCUCAAGAGGAGACACAGUAUUAAUUCUACCAGAGAAACUGGGGCUGUGAGCUACCAUGACAGCAGCACACACAACAGCCAGCCUGCUGCUCCAGAGGGAAUGACAGCUUCCGAGCCAUCCAGCAGGGACUGA